rnacentral:rRNA from 1 species
GUGCCAGCAGCCGCGGUAAUACGGAGGGUGCAAGCGUUAUCCGGAUUCACUGGGUUUAAAGGGUGCGUAGGUGGAUUGAUAAGUCAGUGGUGAAAGCCCCGAGCUCAACUUGGGAAUUGCCAUUGAUACUGUUAGUCUUGAGUUCGGUUGAGGUAGGCGGAAUAAGUCAUGUAGCGGUGAAAUGCUUAGAUAUGACUUAGAACACCGAUUGCGAAGGCAGCUUACCAAGCCGACACUGACACUGAGGCACGAAAGCGUGGGGAUCAAACAGGAUUAGAUACCCGAGUAGUCC